rnacentral:rRNA from 1 species
AGAGUUUGAUCCUGGCUCAGAAUGAACGCUGGCGGCGUGCUUAACACAUGCAAGUCGAACGGUAACAGAUCUAGCUUGCUAGAUGCUGACGAGUGGCGCACGGGUGAGUAAUAUAUAGUUAACGUGCCCCUAAGCCUGGGAUAGCCACUGGAAACGGUGAUUAAUACCGGAUAUACCUUCUACUUACAAGAGUAGUUGGGAAAGGUUUUUCGCUAAGGGAUCGGACUAUAUUGUAUCAGCUAGUUGGUGAGGUAAGAGCUCACCAAGGCAAUGACACAUAGCGGGUUUGAGAGGAUGAUCCGCCACACUGGUACUGAGACACGGACCAGACUCCUACGGGAGGCAGCAGUGAGGAAUAUUGCACAAUGGGCGAAAGCCUGAUGCAGCAACGCCGCGUGGAGGAUGACGCAUUUCGGUGUGUAAACUCCUUUUAUAAGAGAAGAAAAUGACGGUAUCUUAUGAAUAAGUCCCGGCUAAUUCCGUGCCAGCAGCCGCGGUAAU